CAGUAGCCGCGGUAAUACAGAGGGUGCGAGCGUUAAUCGGAAUUACUGGGCGUAAAGGGCGCGUAGGCGGUUAGGAAGGUGUGAUGUGAAAGCCCUGGGCUUAACCUAGGAAGUGCAUCGCAAACCAACUAGCUGGAGUAUAAGAGAGGGUGGCGGAAUUUCCGGUGUAGCGGUGAAAUGCGUAGAGAUCGGAAGGAACGUCAAUGGCGAAGGCAGCCACCUGGCUUAAUACUGACGCUGAGGCGCGAAAGCGUGGGGAGCGAACAGGAUUAGAUACCCCUGUAGUCCCUGUCUCUUAUAA
rnacentral:rRNA from 1 species